AAGCCAAUCUCUCUCACUUCUAAACCAGAAUUUGUAGGCCUAUUUUGGUGAAAGUCUUUAAAAAUCUUCAUCUCUUUCACACGAUUCGGUCAAACGAAAAAAAAAACUGUUGGAAGAAAUCCGCGUUUUCAGAGAUUUGAUUCUCUAUUCAAACGAUCAUUUUCGUUCUUCAAGGCCCGCCCCGUCUAACUCGGAAAAAUUAUUAAUUAAAAAUGACGUACGAAUUACGGCUCAUUUUGACCGCAUUUUUUAUUUUUAAAUAUUUCUCGGAAGUAUAUCAAUAUUGGACUCAUUUUGAAGCUCGUUUCUUAAAACGACGUGUUAUAAUUUUUAUUUCAUCAAAAUAUUAUUUUACAAGGGGCAAAUUCUUGAUAAUUCUAUCUACCUCUUUUCCCUAUUCAAUAAAAAAAAAAACAAAAAAAACAAAAAAAAAAAAAGAAGAAGAGAGCAUGCGUCUCUUUCUUUCCAUCUCUGCUCCAUUUUUUCUUUGGACAAAAGUUCAACUUUCCCUCAUCUGAUUUCUUUCUUUUUUUUUUUUGGGCUCCACACGUUUCCUCCUUUUUGACUGCAUAUCACCUUUUCCCUAAAUUUUCUCCUUCUCCCCCAAUCUCAACGACACAAUCUCUAUUUUUUCUACUACCAAAUCACCUCUCUCUCUCCUCAUUAUUUUUUCACCACCAACGUUCAAAACAAACAGAUUUCUUCAACUUUGAAAUCCCGCCCAAAAUCACAAAUUCUAAUUUUUCUACAUCUAUAAAUACUUUAUUAAUUGCUUCAAAAAAAAAAAAAAAGGAGAAAACAGGGAGUUUUGAGAAACAAAAAAAAAAGAAUCUCUCAAUUCUUGUCUAUCUACUUUAGUUAUUUAUAAGUUUUAAUUCUCAUUUUAUUGGGGGAGUAGUAGCGGAUCUAAGACCUCAAAGCCUCGUUCACUGCUCCCGUGGAAGGUUGCCGUGGAGCAUCCAAUUAAUGAAGGUUUGAAGACAACCAAAGGAAAUUAGUGGAGAUGAAGUAUUAGAUAUCUUAGAUUAACUUUGAAUUGUAUUAUUAACUGGCAUGUAAUAAAUUUUUAUUAUUCUUGUAAAUUAGUUUUAGGAAGAGUUAUGGAAUGAUACAUAAAAGACAUAUUUGUCCUUCAAAUGUUCGUUAGGCCUACCUCUGGCAUAAAGAGGUCCCUUGCAUUAUAGGACGCGAUGUAUUAUGUGCAAUAAUGUGUUUAUGUGCAAUAACAUGUCCUUACCGUAUA